rnacentral:tRNA from 1 species
GCCACGGUGGUGUAGCGGUUAGAACGCUGGCCUUGUAAUCCUGGGGUCUCGGGUUCGAUUCCUGGCGGUGCCC